rnacentral:rRNA from 1 species
AUCAACGCUGGCGGCGCGCUUAACACAUGCAAGUCGAACGAGAAAGCAGGGGCAACCUUGUGAGUACAGUGGCGUACGGGUGAGUAACACGUGGGUGAUCUACCUCAGAGUGGGGAAUAACGCUGGGAAACCGGCGCUAAUACCGCAUGAGCUUGGUUUUCAUCAAGGAAGCCAAGGAAAGUCGAAAGACGCUGUGAGAGGAGCCCGCGGCCGAUUAGCCAGUUGGUGAGGUAAGAGCUCACCAAAGCCAAGAUCGGUAGCCGGCCUGAGAGGGCACACGGCCACACUGACACUGACAUACGGGUCAGACUCCUACGGGAGGCAGCAGUCGGGAAUUUGGCAAUGGGGCGAAAGCCUGACGCAGCAGACGCCGCGUGAGGAUGAAAGCCCUUCGGGAUGUAAACUUCGCAAGAACGGGAAGAAUAAGUAAGGGUUAACACCUCUUACGAAUGACGGUACUGUUUGUAAGCUCCGGCUAACUCCGUGCCAGCAGCCGCGGUAAUACGUGGCAGCGAGCGUUGUUCGGAUUUACUGGGCGUAAAGGGCGUGUAGGCGGUCCACCUAAGUCAGUUGUGAAAUCUCCCGGCUUAACCCGGGAAGGUGCGACUGAUAACUGCGGGCUAGAGUGCAGGAAGGGGCACGUAGAAUUCCUCGGUGUAGCGGUGAAAUGCGUAGAUAUCGAGAGGAACACCGGUGCGGCAGAAGGCGGUUGCUGGGCUGACGACUGACGCUGAGACUGCGAAAGCUAGGGGUAGCGAACAGGAUUAGAUACCCCUGGUAGUCCUAGCCCUUAAACGAUGAAUGCUUGGUAGGUCAUUCGGUUGAUUCCCUGGUGCCGGCGCUAACGCGUUAAUCAUGCCGCCUGGGGAGUACAGGUCGCAAGGCUGAAACUCAAAGGAAUUGACGGGGGACCCGCACAAGCGGUGGAGCAUGUGGUUUAAUUCGACGCAACGCGAAGAACCUUACCUGGGCUCGAAGGCCUCGGUACCGGCGUAGAGAUACAUGCUACUCCUGGUACCAGGGGUCCAGCCUGCAAGGUGCUGCAUGGCUGUCGUCAGCUCGUGUCGUGAGAUGUUGGGUUAAGUCCCGCAACGAGCGCAACCCUUAUCAUAGUGUGCCAGCGGUUCAAGGCCGGGCACUCGAUUGAGACUGCCAGUUGACUAAGCGGAGGAAGGUGGGGAUGACGUCAAGUCCUCAUGGCCUUUAUGUCCAGGGCUACACACGUGCUACAAUGGCCGAGUACAAAGCGCCUGCUAAAGCUCGCGAGAAGGGAGCCAAUCGCAAAAAGCUCGUCUCAGUUCGGAUUGCAGGCUGCAACUCGACUGCAUGAAGCUGGAAUCGCUAGUAAUGCGCAGAUCAGAACGAUGCCGUGAAUACGUUCCCGGGUCCUUGUACACACCGCCCGUCACAUCACGAAAGUGGGUUGUACUAGAAGUCUGCAGGCUGCCACCCGUAAGGGAGGCAGGCGCCCAAGGUAUGACUCAUGAUUGGGGUG